GAAACGACUGCUAAGACUGGAUAGGAAAAGUAAAGGCAUCUUUACUUUUUUAAAAGACCUUCUUUGAAGGUAUACUUAAGGAGGGGCUUGCGACACAUUAGUUAGUUGGCAGGGUAAAGGCCUACCAAGACUAUGAUGUGUAGCUGGACUGAGAGGUUGAACAGCCACAUUGGGACUGAGACACGGCCCAAACUCCUACGGGAGGCAGCAGUAGGGAAUUUUCGGCAAUGGAGGAAACUCUGACCGAGCAACGCCGCGUGAACGAUGAAGUACCUCGGUAUGUAAAGUUCUUUUAUUAAGGAAGAAAAAAGAGUGGAAAAACUCCCUUGACGGUACUUAAUGAAUAAGCCCCGGCUAAUUAUGUGCCAGCAGCCGCGGUAAUACAUAAGGGGCGAGCGUUAUCCGGAAUUAUUGGGCGUAAAGGGUGCGUAGGCGGUUUAAUAAGUCUAUAGUUUAAUUUCAGCGCUUAACGCUGUUGUGCUAUAGAAACUGUUUUACUAGAGUGAGUUAGAGGCAAGCGGAAUUCCAUGUGUAGCGGUAAAAUGCGUAAAUAUAUGGAGGAACACCAGAGGCGUAGGCGGCUUGCUGGGACUUUACUGACGCUGAGGCACGAAAGCGUGGGGAGCAAACAGGAUUAGAUACCCUGGUAGUCCACGCCGUAAACGAUGAGUACUAAGUGUCGGGUAAAACCGGUACUGAAGUUAACACAUUAAGUACUCCGCCUGAGUAGUACGUACGCAAGUAUGAAACUUAAAGGAAUUGACGGGACUCCGCACAAGCGGUGGAUCAUGUUGUUUAAUUCGAAGAUACACGAAAAACCUUACCAGGUCUUGACAUUUUCUUGCGAAGUUAUAGAAAUAUAAUGGAGGUUAUCAGGAAAACAGGUGGUGCAUGGUUGUCGUCAGCUCGUGUCGUGAGAUGUUAGGUUAAGUCCUAAAACGAGCGCAACCCUUGUCGUUAAUUGCCAGCAUGUAAUGAUGGGGACUUUAAUGAGACUGCCAAUGAAAAAUUGGAGGAAGGUGGGGAUUACGUCAAAUCAUCAUGCCCCUUAUGAUCUGGGCUACAAACGUGAUACAAUGGUUGAUACAAAGAGUAGCUGAAACGCGAGUUCUUAGCCAAUCUCAAAAAAUCAAUCUCAGUUCGGAUUGAAGUCUGCAACUCGACUUCAUGAAGUUGGAAUCGCUAGUAAUCGCGAAUCAGCAUGUCGCGGUGAAAUCGUUCUCGGGGUUUGUACACACCGCCCGUCA
rnacentral:rRNA from 1 species